rnacentral:rRNA from 1 species
AUUGAACGCUGGCGGCAGGCCUAACACAUGCAAGUCGAGCGGAUGAAGGGAGCUUGCUCCUGGAUUCAGCGGCGGACGGGUGAGUAAUGCCUAGGAAUCUGCCUGGUAGUGGGGGAUAACGUCCGGAAACGGGCGCUAAUACCGCAUACGUCCUGAGGGAGAAAGUGGGGGAUCUUCGGACCUCACGCUAUCAGAUGAGCCUAGGUCGGAUUAGCUAGUUGGUGGGGUAAAGGCCUACCAAGGCGACGAUCCGUAACUGGUCUGAGAGGAUGAUCAGUCACACUGGAACUGAGACACGGUCCAGACUCCUACGGGAGGCAGCAGUAGGGAAUAUUGGACAAUGGGCGAAAGCCUGAUCCAGCCACGCCGCGUGUGUGAAGAAGGUCUUCGGAUUGUAAAGCACUUUAAGUUGGGAGGAAGGGCUGUAAGUUAAUACCUGGCUGUUUUGACGGUACCAACAGAAUAAGCACCGGCUAACUUCGUG